rnacentral:rRNA from 1 species
AGUGAACGCUGGCGGUAGGCCUAACACAUGCAAGUCGAACGGCAGCACAGUAAGAGCUUGCUCUUACGGGUGGCGAGUGGCGGACGGGUGAGGAAUACAUCGGAAUCUACUUUUUCGUGGGGGAUAACGUAGGGAAACUUACGCUAAUACCGCAUACGACCUACGGGUGAAAGCAGGGGAUCUUCGGACCUUGCGCGAUUGAAUGAGCCGAUGUCGGAUUAGCUAGUUGGCGGGGUAAAGGCCCACCAAGGCGACGAUCCGUAGCUGGUCUGAGAGGAUGAUCAGCAACACUGGAACUGGGACACGGUCCAGACUCCUACGGGAGGCAGCAGUGGGGAAUAUUGGACAAUGGGCGCAAGCCUGAUCCAGCCAUACCGCGUGGGUGAAGAAGGCCUUCGGGUUGUAAAGGCCUUUUGUUGGGAAAGAAAAGCAGCAGGUUAAUACCCCGCUGUUCUGACGGUACCCAAAGAAUAAGCACCGGCUAACUUCGUG